rnacentral:rRNA from 1 species
UACGUAGGGCGCAAGCGUUGUCCGGAAUUAUUGGGCGUAAAGAGCGUGUAGGCGGCCAGGUAGGUCGGUUGUGAAAACUGGAGGCUCAACCUUCGAGAGGUCGACCCGAAACCAUCUGGCUAGAGUCCGGGAGAGGAGAGUGGAAUUCCGUGGUGUAGCGGUGAAAUGCGCAGAUAUCAGGAAGAACACCCGUGGCGAAAGCGGCUCUCUGGAACGGUACUGACGCUGAGACGCGAAAGCGUGGGAGCGAACAGG